CUAAUACCGCAUAAGCGCACAGCUUCGCAUGAAGCAGUGUGAAAAACUCCGGUGGUACAAGAUGGACCCGCGUCUGAUUAGCUGGUUGGUGAGGUAACGGCCCACCAAGGCGACGAUCAGUAGCCGGCCUGAGAGGGUGAACGGCCACAUUGGGACUGAGACACGGCCCAAACUCCUACGGGAGGCAGCAGUGGGGAAUAUUGCACAAUGGGGGAAACCCUGAUGCAGCAACGCCGCGUGAGUGAAGAAGUAUUUCGGUAUGUAAAGCUCUAUCAGCAGGAAAGAAAAUGACGGUACCUGACUAAGAAGCCCCGGCUAACUACGUGCCAGCAGCCGCGGUAAUACGUAGGGGGCAAGCGUUAUCCGGAUUUACUGGGUGUAAAGGGAGCGUAGACGGUUUUGCAAGUCUGAAGUGAAAGCCCGGGGCUUAACCCCGGGACUGCUUUGGAAACUGUAGGACUAGAGUGCAGGAGAGGUAAGUGGAAUUCCUAGUGUAGCGGUGAAAUGCGUAGAUAUUAGGAGGAACACCAGUGGCGAAGGCGGCUUACUGGACUGAAACUGACACUGAGGCACGAAAGCGUGGGGAGCAAACAGGAUUAGAUACCCUGGUAGUCCACGCCGUAAAC
rnacentral:rRNA from 1 species